rnacentral:tRNA from 1 species
GGGUCCGUAGCUCAGUGGUAGAGCAUCACUCUUAUAAAGUGGGGGUCGAUGGUUCGAACCCAUCCGGACCCA